AUUGAACGCUGGCGGCAUGCCUUACACAUGCAAGUCGAACGGUAACAGGUCUUCGGAUGCUGACGAGUGGCGAACGGGUGAGUAAUACAUCGGAACGUGCCCGAUCGUGGGGGAUAACGCAGCGAAAGCUGUGCUAAUACCGCAUACGAUCUACGGAUGAAAGCGGGGGAUCGCAAGACCUCGCGCGGACGGAGCGGCCGAUGGCAGAUUAGGUAGUUGGUGGGAUAAAAGCUUACCAAGCCGACGAUCUGUAGCUGGUCUGAGAGGACGACCAGCCACACUGGGACUGAGACACGGCCCAGACUCCUACGGGAGGCAGCAGUGGGGAAUUUUGGACAAUGGGCGCAAGCCUGAUCCAGCCAUGCCGCGUGCAGGAUGAAGGCCUUCGGGUUGUAAACUGCUUUGUACGGACGAAAAGACUCUCUCUAAUACAGGGGUGAAUGACGGUACCGUAAGAAUAAGCACCGGCUAACUACGUGCC
rnacentral:rRNA from 1 species